CGGGACAGCUCGCGGCCUCCGAGACUCUAGCCGUCGAGGAGGUGCCUGGGGACGUUUGCCCUGGGGCCCCAGCCUGGCCCGGGUCACCCUGGCAUGAGGAGAUGGGCCUGCUGCUCCUGGUCCCGUUGCUCCUGCUGCCCGGCUCCUACGGACUGCCCUUCUACAACGGCUUCUACUACUCCAGCAGCACCAACGACCAGAACGCAGGCAACGGUCAUGGCAAAGACCUCCUCAAUGGAGUGAAGCUGGUGGUGGAGACACCCGAGGAGACCCUGUUCACCUACCAAGGGGCCAGUGUGAUCCUGCCCUGCCACUACCGCUACGAGCCGGCCCUGGUCUCCCCGAGACGCGUGCGCAUCAAAUGGUGGAAGCUGUCGGAGAACGGGGCCCCAGAGAAGGACGUGCUGGUGGCCAUCGGGCUGAGGCACCGCUCCUUUGGGGACUACCAAGGCCGCGUGCACCUGCGGCAGGACAAGGAGCAUGACGUCUCGCUGGAGAUCCAGGAUCUGCGGCUGGAGGACUAUGGGCGUUACCGCUGUGAGGUCAUUGAUGGGCUAGAGGAUGAAAGCGGUCUGGUGGAGCUGGAGCUGCGGGGUGAGACCCUGACGGGGACUGGGUGACACUGGGACCUGAGAGCAGAGGGGAGAGGACCAGAGAAAACAUCCAGACCUCUGUGCUUUAGACAUUUAAAAGUACUAAAUUCUCAAAACAACCCACAGGGAAGCUACUGUUAUGACCCUCAUUUUACAGGUGAGGAAACUGAGGCACAGAGAGGUCAAGUAACUUACCUAAGGUCACACAGCUUG
rnacentral:sRNA from 1 species